GCUCCCGUGUUGCGAAGGA
rnacentral:rRNA from 1 species